rnacentral:rRNA from 1 species
UGCCAGCCGCCGCGGUAAUACGAAGGGAGCUAGCGUUGUUCGGAAUUACUGGGCGUAAAGCGCGCGUAGGCGGACCAGAAAGUUGGGGGUGAAAUCCCGGGGCUCAACCCCGGAACUGCCUCCAAAACUCCUGGUCUUGAGAUCGAGAGAGGUGAGUGGAAUUCCGAGUGUAGAGGUGAAAUUCGUAGAUAUUCGGAGGAACACCAGUGGCGAAGGCGGCUUACUGGCUCGAUACUGACGCUGAGGUGCGAAAGUGUGGGGAGCAAACAGGAUUAGAUA